CUACGGGCCGCACCAGUGAGGAAUAUUGGUCAAUGGGCGAGAGCCUGAACCAGCCAUCCCGCGUGCAGGAUGACGGCCCUAUGGGUUGUAAACUGCUCUUCCAUACCAAGAAACCUGAUUACGUGUAAUUAGUUGCCGGUAGUAUGGGAAUAAGCAUCGGCUAACUCCGUGCCAGCAGCCGCGGUAAUACGGAGGAUGCAAGCGUUAUCCGGAUUCAUUGGGUUUAAAGGGUGCGCAGGUGGGCUUGUAAGUCAGUGGUGAAAUGUUGCCGCUUAACGGUAAAAUUGCCAUUGAUACUUGCAAGUCUUGAAUAUAGUUGAGGUAGGCGGAAUGUGUUGUGUAGCGGUGAAAUGCAUAGAUAUGACACAGAACACCGAUUGCGAAGGCAGCUUACUAAGCUAUUAUUGACGCUGAGGCACGAAAGCGUGGGGAUCGAACAGGAUUAGAUACCCGCGUAGUC
rnacentral:rRNA from 1 species